GUUAGCUCUGCUCAGCAGAGUGUGGGUUUGUGUGUGUGUGAGAAAGUGUGCAUUAGGGUGUGUGUGAGAGCUGUCGUCCACUGAUCCAUACUGGAUGAUUUUUUUCCCCUUUCCUAGAUGUAUAUGUUGCAGAUAAUUUACUAUGGGAAAGCAUGUGUGUCUGUGUGCAGAAAGAUCAUAGGUCUUUCCUUCCAAAUGAUUCAGAAGCAUUUGACACCAAUCAGCAGAGGGGGAAAUGGUCCUGCCCUCUGUCUCACCCUCUGCAGCUCUUUGUUUCACAUGGUUCCCCACUGACAAAAUGGGGAUUUAUAGUAAUCUAAUUGUUUUUGGGUUACUGAUGUUGCUACAAUGACCUUUCCUUCCAUUUGGGAGAUAAUCACCCAGGUAAUUACUGUUUAUACCUCACAUCUUCACCUCUCACUCAGAAAUAAAUCCCUCUGUUUAAAUUCUAGAAAUCACAUAGAGGCAAUAAUGCUCUGGAAUCAAUUUAAUGUACGCAAGGUGCAAAUUAUAUGGUGCAUGUAGAAGUGCUUCAGCAAACUAGAAUAUUAUAUACUCCACAAGUCUUCUUGUUUACCAUAAUACUGGCCACCUAUAUUGAUUAUAAAUACUCAUAUCUACUCUAACAGUCCAUAGGGCAUAGACCACACGAUAAUAUUUUUGUCCUUUGUCACCUAAAAAUUAUUUCUUCCAUUUUUGCAAAUUAUGUCACGCUUAAAAAAUAAAUACAAAAAGUUUACAAACAAUGGCUGAAAGGUGAGAAACCUAUUCAACCCAACUCGGCCCAAUGAGAAACAAUAAUCAUCAUAAUCACUAGCCGCAACUACGCCCGGUCUUAUUACUACCAGACUUGUAGAAACAACAAAUAAAUUGAAUAGGACCUGUUUGAUGACAUGAAGUAGACUAAAAGGUCUCACAAAGCAGCACAUUGUGAACAAAUUGAAGAACACAUAAGGACCAGGACAACUUAGCCUAAUGGAUGGAUAAUAAUUUCUGCUCUCUACCAACAAAUCCAGAAGGAGAAUGUCCUGCCAUCAGUGUGUGAGGUUAAACCCGAGCAUACUUGUGUUAUGCAUCAUGACGAUCCACAAUAUAACCGCACGUCCCCAUCAGAAUGGUUAAAAAAAGACUGGACUAAGUUGCCUACUUAAAGUGUGGGUUGUAACAGAGAUGUUAUGUCAUGACCUUAAACAGACGUCUCAUACGUGAAAAUAGUUUAAAGGGGCCAAAAUUCCUCCACAGCGUUUGUGAAAGACUACCAGUUGUGACUAACGCUUCAUGGCAGCCAAAAAUGGCACCACCAGUUGAUGGAUUUACUAUUUUGGUUUGUAGAGGCCACAAAAAAGCAAAUAAGUUUGAUUCUAACUAAAUAGAAAUGUAUAAGUGAUUUGAGGACAGUUUUAAAUCUAUUUUUGACUUAGACCUAAAUGUCCUUGCCUUUGUCACAAAGGAAAAGCUUUUCAACAGCCAUACAUCUGGCUAACUCACAAAGUACAACAAUGAGUUCACAACGACUUUUUGCGGAAAUUAUGACAUUGACAUUAGAACCUGAUUCAAAGCCGCCCUUUAUCCGGUUGCCAAAACAGCACCUCUGAAUCAUACUCCAACUGCAGAUCGUUACAACAACAGAACCCGCUUUGUAAUGAUGUAAAGGGAAACCUUGAAGUCAGACCAGCUAAAUGUUCAAUUUUCAGCAAAUUUUAUUGACAGUAGUAGGAGUUUAAAAUAAUGGCAGUUUCAGAGUUGAAACAGGUAAAUUCCUAAUACAACAUAUUUUUGGUAAUACUGGCAAUUAAUAACAGUAAUUAGUCAGGAAAUAGGUAGAGAGAGAACGUGGAGAGACUUUUUGCAAAGGUCUCAAUGUCUGGAGUCAAACCCAGGAUGGCUGCAUUAAGGACUAAUAGCCUUCAAAGAUUGGGUGCCUGCUCUACUUUUACAGCUAUGCCACACACUGCCCCAUUAGACAUUUUUUCAAUAUACUUAGUAUAUUGUAAAGAGUAAAUAUUGUAACUUAGUAUAUUGUAUAAAGUAAAUCUACAUAUACAAAUUACGUGAAACUUAUAAUCUAAUUCAUGCUUUAUCUCCCCCAAUCUAUUUUUUUAUACUUCUUUUAGAGGGGUCCAAGCCUUAUGUAGGAGGCUCAAAGCCCCCAAUUUCUGCCCUGUAAUCUACACUCUGAAUUGUCACACAUGUUUAAUAAGCUUCUUUAUUUCAAUCUCUUUCAAGGAGUCAAAGCAACAGAAAGACAGAACGGUACCUCUGUGCGUCUAAAACAAAAAGCAUGUGGGUGGAAGAACAGAGGCAGGAGCCUCCUCUUUUGUCUCCCUCUGACAGAGAAUGGGAAAGUAACCAAUAGAGAAAAAAGCUUGAGUCUCACCUCACAAAAGUGGCAACCCUGAUUACAGAUCUCGCGCUGACCUAGAUGCCCUAAUGAAACAUGUCAGCUCGACAUGGAAUGAUGUUCUUCAAAGUACAUGCAUGCAAUAACACGCACCAUGCAGAAACUCAGGCACACAGAGUGUGUCUUGCAGGAUUAAAAGAACAUGUGGUCUUGUUUUACCGUUUGUGACACAUUCUAAUCCCCUUUAAUAUGAUUGAAUUUUUGAGUUAUCACUUGAUUCUUGUUUGUAUCUGUUUGUCCAUCCACCC